GUUCUCUGUGAUCUGGGAGGAUCAAUGAAGUAAAGAAGACAGAGGGGAAGAAGAUGAGGAGCUUCAGAUUCAUUUUUUGAAGCAAUUAGAGGAGAGAAAAUCCAGUCAUCUGUGACAGAGGGCAGAUACUCAAUGAACCCAAGUGUGAAGAGACUUGAGUGAUUUUUCUUGCAUGACUCCAUCUUGACAUGCACAAUGGCUGGACCAGUUCACAGCUCCACUUGUCUUCAGACAGCACCUCCAACAUGGACUAUUCUUGUCUUUGUUUAUCUAUGGCAACGUACAUGU